rnacentral:rRNA from 1 species
AUGAAUAAAACCUUCUAUGGUCAUACACCCAAUGAAAAUGGUUUGUUGGAUCUCAAUAGUAGUGAUACACAUAUUCAUAACGUUGAAGCCAAAAGAUGCAGAGUUGAUAAUGAUAGUGCAACAUAUUUGUGGCACUGCCGUUUGAGUCAUAUUGGUGUAAAGCGCAUGAAGAAACUCCAUACUGAUGGGCUUUUGGAAUCACUUGAUUAUGAAUCACUUGGUACUUGCGAACCAUACCUCAUGGGCAAGAUGACUAAAACGCCGUUCUCCGGAACUAUGGAGCGAGCAACAGAUUUAUUGGAAAUCAUACAUACUGAUGUAUGUGGUCCGAUGAAUGUUGAGGCUCGCGGCGGGUAUCGUUAUUUUCUCACCUUCACAGAUGAUUUGAGCAGAUAUGGGUAUAUCUACUUAAUGGAACAUAAAUCUGAAAUAGUUGAAAAGUUCAAAGAAUUUCAUAGUGAAGUGGAGAAUCAUUGUAACAAGAAAAUAAAGUUUUUCUGCGAUUUGAUCGCGGAGACGAAUAUUUGA